CGCGAUUGGAUGAACCUAGGUGGGAUUAGCUAGUUGGUGAGGUAAUGGCUCACCAAGGCGACGAUCCCUAGCUGUUCUGAGAGGAUGAUCAGCCACACUGGGACUGAGACGCGGCCCAGACUCCUACGGGAGGCAGCAGUGGGGAAUAUUGCACAAUGGGGGAAACCCUGAUGCAGCCAUGCCGCGUGUGUGAAGAAGGCCUUCGGGUUGUAAAGCACUUUCAGUAGGGAGGAAAGGGUGUAGUUUAAUACGCUAUAUCUGUGACGUUACCUACAGAAGAAGGACCGGCUAACUCCGUGCCAGCAGCCGCGGUAAUACGGAGGGUCCGAGCGUUAAUCGGAAUUACUGGGCGUAAAGCGUGCGCAGGCGGUUUGUUAAGCGAGAUGUGAAAGCCCUGGGCUCAACCUAGGAAUAGCAUUUCGAACUGGCAAACUAGAGUCUUGUAGAGGGGGGUAGAAUUCCAGGUGUAGCGGUGAAAUGCGUAGAGAUCUGGAGGAAUACCGGUGGCGAAGGCGGCCCCCUGGACAAAGACUGACGCUCAUGCACGAAAGCGUGGGGAGCAAACAGGAUUAGAUACCCUGGUAGUCCACGCCGUAAACGAUGUCUACUCGGAGUUUGGUGCCUU
rnacentral:rRNA from 1 species